GCGCGGCCCUGAAGGUAAUUUUCUUGCUCUUGAAAUUAGGAAGCGCCGCCAUCUUGUUGAGUUCAGAAAUCAACUUUUGCAUAUACAUAUAUAAUACACGUGUGCGUACGCAGUGCCAUCUGUGUGCCGGGAUAACUGUUGCGUGGAUUAAAAAUAAAUAAAUAGUGUAAUCAUCUGUAUGAAAGAUAUCUUUUUUUUGCUUCUCUAGAUCUUUUAUGAGUUUACGGGUCGCUGAUGCGUCCGAGGCAUUUCGUGAAAUAAAAUUGGUUAACGGUCCUUGGCACGGGAUAAUAAAAAAUGUCACUUCCUCAGAUGCAUUGGGACUAUAUUUACUCAAUGAGAAAUAUGGCGCGACAAUCAGACCGCGUACAGGCAGACAGGGAAUAAUACGACUGGAAUUCACGAUGUCGCGUAUUAUUUAAUCAUUAUCGUGGAAACGACCUGAGCCAUUUUUAUAAGUCCUUCUAUUCCGUACAAUCUUGAACGUUCGUAGUAGACGCGUGCAGACACGGAGAAAUGUAACCUACGGUUAUACAUGCACAGUUGAAUUAUUUCCGCUUGCGGUACACUUCUUUUCGUAUUCAACGGACUAAUUAGGGAAUGACUACUGCGCAUGCGCUACGUAUCCACCAUGAUAGUCCGUCGCCGCGCAUGCGCACGCACGUAACCUCAACGCCGGUCUCACGCGUCUCUGCGAAUAUCGGGCUAAUUAGACUAAUUACUUUGAACGACUACGAAGGAUACUUGAUUACUACGUGCCGAGUAGGUCGUGCCACAAAUUCGUCUCAUUGUAACUUCGGGUAAGAUCCUGGAAAAUGAUUUAUUGUCCGUGCGAAAGUGUCCGACGAUGUCCUCUUUCCCUGUGAUAUUUUCAAUAGCAGCGAAAGUCAACCAAUAAAAGCUGUCGUCACUACGUUUAAUACCAUUUUCCAAAAUGUAAGGCUUCAAUGGACGUGUCAGUCUCUAUGUCAGUGAGUAAUGUGAUUGCACGUCAUGUCAGAAAAUAUGUUUUACUCUUCGCAAUGUACGAUUCCUCGAGAUCGGAAAGUAUUACUGUACUGGAUUCUUGUAGCAAGCUGGAUGUUGCGUGCUGAUUCAGACAACGGUCGAGAGACAAUGUGACGAUUGAUGCUGGCAAUGAGCUCAGCUGCACCUCCUUUAAAGAUGCUUCGCGACGUAAUAACAGAAUUAUAGCCAAACGUAGUAACGCUCAACCGUGCAUGGCUAUUCCAACGAUAAGGAAGCACCCGUGGAGCCGUUGCGGAACAACAAUAAAAAUCGACAAUUGGAAAGCUAGCAUAAAUAACUAUCAAUAAUCAUUUUUUUUAAAGACAUCAAACUCGCAUAUGCCAUGUGCAGCAAAAUCUACAGCAACAACAUUCGUCCUCAUUCGCAAUUCAAAAGCCGUACUGCACCCUAUUGUUGUUAAACUCCAAGCAUUGUCAAACCAAAGAAAAACCAUACGAAGGGCAUUCUCUUUUCUUAGAUAUCAGAUAACAUGAUUCGUGCAAUAAAUCACUCGCGAUUAAUAAACAACGUCCAACGAUAUGUCCGA